rnacentral:misc_RNA from 1 species
GUGAAUCAUCAAAUUUUUGAACGCAAAUUGCACUCCCUGCGGAGAGUAUGCGUGUUUGAGGGUCAGCCUAAAAAAAAAUCGACAUAGUUGCUGUUUCGCGGUUAUAUUCUUCGGAAAUUGGGUCAUCUUUAACCUUUUGUUUUUAGGGGCUUUAAAUUUUCUUUUCUUUUCGAAUAAUGUUUCUUAGAUAUUUUUUUCUUUUAUUUUUAAGUU